rnacentral:tmRNA from 1 species
GGGGAUGACAGGUUUCGACGGUGUUAGUCGAGACAGGUGAAGCGGGCCGAGGAUGCAGGGUUAUCUCGUAAACGCUCCUUGCAAAACAAUAAGUGCCGAUUCAAAGCGCACUGACUUCGCUCUCGCUGCCUAAGCAGCGGGCAUAGUCCGUCAGCCCGGGAAUGCUCUCGUCCCGGAUCCUGGCGUCAUUUAGAGGGCCACUGCUGAACACGCCCGCCGUUGGCGUGUUCGGGACUCUUAAACGGCUGGGCCCGGAUCAGCUGCUUGUCUGCAUGACAGCUGGGGCCAAGAAAAUCCACCGCAGACUGCGCCCGGAGAAGCCCUGACAACACGACAUCGGACGGGGGUUCAAUUCCCCCAUCUCCACAG